GUAGGUGAACCUGCGGAAGGAUCAUUACAAAAGUUAAACACUUGGGGAACGGACUCGCCUUUCGGGGCUCGAGGCCUGACUCCAUUUGUAACAAACUUUCAACCACUUGUGAAUUUGUAACAAAUUUUCUCACCAAUUGACUGUUAACGAAGUCUGAUUCAAAUUGUAUUGGUGUUUAUAGACACUAGUAAAAUAUGAAACAACUUUUGGCAACGGAUCUCUUGGCUCUC
rnacentral:misc_RNA from 1 species